CCCCCUCCUGCCAAGUCUUUGGGGGACCUAAAGAUAGCAUAGGAUAGGAUGCAUUUGCUGCCUUGUAUAUUGCUUGAUGAUGAAGCUCUAGAAAAAGGAAGCAAUUAUUGUAGAUAAGUCUCCCAUUCCAGCAUGGCUCUGCAGCAGGAAUAGGAGGUCUAGGCAGAGAAAGCCUGAAGCAGUACCCAACAGGCCUGCAGUCCCAGGAGAUGCCAGAGAGCCAAACAUUUCCCAUUCCCCUGAGAUGAGUAUUUGUGUGGCCUUUUGGGUUUAUCACUUUUAUAACACAUAAAAUCCAUAACUGCUAUUAACAUAAAUGUUAAUCAUGCUGCAUUCUAAUUUUCCUUUCUCUUAUUUAGAUAUCAAAUGGCUUAUAAGCUUCUGGAAUCAACUGUGUGAUCUUCAAAACUGGCAACUUGAGAACAGAGCAGGAAGUAAGUGGUUCAGCUUUGGAUACCCUGGCCACGAGUUGAGCAUCCUGAUGGCAAAAUAUUACCUGUCAUGGCCCUUGGGAACAUGUACAAGAUGUGAAUGGAUACUCUCUCCAUUGUGGGAAUACAGGCUGUAGUUUAAGCUGCUCUGAAAGUGGAACACUCCUCCUCUUCCUCCUACAGGGGGCUCCAUGGUGCCAUCUAUGAAGAAUAAGCCCUCACCACACACCAAACUUGCUAGCACCUUGAUCUUGGAUUCCCAGCCUCCAGAACGGUGAGAAGUAAAUUUCUGUUGUUUAUAAAUUACCCAGUCUUAUGUAUUUUGUUAUAGCAGCACUAAUGGGCUGAGACUAUACUAAAAAGAAAAAUAACUGAAUUGCAAAAUGAACAAAGGACUUGAAUAGAAAUUAUUUCCAAAGAAGAUAAAGAAAUAGGCAAUCAGCAUAUGAAGAGAUGCUCAACAUCUUUAGCCAAAAAAGAAAUGUAUCUGAGAAAGUGUUUUAUUAGGUAUGUAGUGGCAUCUCACCACAUUGUGGUUUUAAUUUUCAUUUCCCUAAUGACUAAAUGUGUCGAGUCUCUUUUCAUUUGCUUGUUUGCCAUAUGUAUAUUUUUGGUGAAAGAUCUAUAUAAAAUUUUUAUCUAAUUUUUAAUUGAGUUGUCUUCUUCUUACUGAAUUGUAAAAGUUCUUCAUAAAUUCUCCUACAGUACCUUAUGAGGAUGUGAUUUGCCAGUGUUUUAUCCCAGUCUGUGGAUUAUCUUUUCUGUGUUCUUAAUGAUGUCUUUUGAAGCACAAAAAUUUUUAAUUUUGAUGAAGUCCAGAUUACCAGUUUUUUCUUUUAUAGAUCAUGUUUUUGGUGUUAACUGUUUGCCUAACCCAAGAUCAUAAAGAUAGUCCUACCAUUCUGUUCUUACAUUUAGGUAUAUAAUCUAAUUUGAUGUAAUAUUUUUAUAUGGUAUGAAGUUAGAGCCAAAAUUCCUUCUUAUAUAUGUGGAUAUUCAGUUGUCCUGCACCAGUUGUUAAAAAGACAAUUCUUUUACCCCAUUUAAUUACCUUGGCACCUUUGUUGAAAAUCAGUUGACCAUACAUAAGAAUCUGUUUUUGUAUUCUCAAUUUUCUUGCAUUGUUCUAUAUGUCUAUUCUUAUGCCAGUUCCCUGGUGUUACCAUUUAUGAUAUACCUUAUUAUGACAGAGGCAACAUUUUAUUUUUAUUUAUUUGCUUUUUAUUUUACUUUAAGUUCUGGGAUACAUGUGCUGAAUGUGCAGGUUUUUUACAUAGGUAUACAUGUGCCAUGGUGGUUUGCUGCACCUGUUUAUUUUUUUAAGGCAGCUUUUUUAUACUAAUGGUAAACCAAAUCUAUUAUGAUCGUGAGGUAAUAAUAUUUUGCCCAAUACCUUGAGCUUCUGGAGCAACAAUUACUUUUGUAUUACUCAUAUUCAUUAAAAGUAGGUUUCAGCAAGGUGGAAAUUAGAAGUGAAGUCUAAAUGCUUGGAGCCCAAACUAUGUUUUACAGAAUGAUAUGUGAUUUGCCAAAAACCUAUUUAUAAUAAAUAUGCCAAAAACAUAUUUAUAAUAAAUUUCUCCAAUUUAACACCGAAAGCUGUAGGGCAGAGAGCCAGCUUAUGUUUAUCUAAUAUAAGAAGUAUUAUCAAAAUUUCUACUUUGAACAUUUUCUUCACUAUUACUGUAUGUAUUAUUAAAUCUAAGACACCGUUAAGUAUAAAGUGCACCAAUUAUUUAUAUAUCACUAAGAAAUAAAAAGUUCUUUCAGUUAGAAAAUAUAGUAAUACCAAUUGAAAAAGAUAACAUUCUAAUUUCAUAGACAUAAAAUUCUUAGUAAAUGUGCAUCUUAAAAUUGAUGAAAUAUAAUAUAUCAGACACCAAAUCUUACUUUUGAGUUGUCACCUUUCUUCUAAAAGGGAUUUUCCUAUUACAGGAUCUCUUUCAGGCUCUAUUUUUGUUUCUCCUUUGCUUUGUAUACAUUUUCAAAGUAAAGUAAAAUUCUGUAAUAACUCCAAUGGUUUUGAAUGUGUUUCAAAUUAUUUUGAAGUGGGAGAUUGAAUUAAGCCAGCUUCAGACACAUGGCAUAUCUGUUGUCUCUGUGAAUCAUUAAUAUUUCCUCAGCCAGCAGGAAUCCCAUCUUUCAAACCCAUGUGAACCCUUACUAUAUUGCCCACUAGUUUGAAUUAUUUUGAAACUAUUUACCAAAUAUUGAAACUUCUGGGAUAAAUCAAUAAUUUAUAGUAACCCUGGAAUGGAAUAAUUUGAAAUCUGGACAAUCCCUGAAAAUUUGGGAUGUAGACUCCCUAUACCAUGGGUGUUAGUCACUGGUGAGACUGCCGAGAAGCCACAAACUCAGCCCUCUGUGGAAUGAACAUUCCAAAGUAGAAGGAUUGCCAGAUGUCAACAGAUGCUAUAAUUUGCUCCCGGAUCUAAUUCCUCCCAUAGAGCUGGACCUGCAUGUAGGUAGUCUGAGCAGCUGUUUCUUUCUGCAGGGUCAUCUAAGGGGCACUGGAACCAUCCUCACUACCCUCAAAUUUCUCACUUGCUGGCCUGCCCCAGGGCCUUGGUCUCACCUCUUUGAGGUAAGACACUAUCAGAGAGUCCCUGUCUGUGGAGAGGUGACACCUAGUAAUACAUCAUCAUUUAUUACUGGCCUGGAGGAAAAUAGCAUUUUUAGGGAAGAACAUAGGGCUUAGGGCAUCAACUUCUGUAGGUUUUCUGGUUAUAAGAAAGCUGAGACAACCAGUUGGUCCACCUUAAAAAGAAGAGGGGCUAUUGUAGAGCAGUUAUACUUAGGAAACGUGGACUGAAUCAGGAGUUUCAAAGUGGUUCAGAGGCUGUUGUUGCUCUAGAGAAGCCUCAGGCCCACACUCUCUGGCCUGCAGGGUCUCUCUCUCAUGUUGAAUCUGCUGCUGCCUGUAUAUCUGCUCUGCUUCACUCUCACCAUCUACUAACUAAUCUUUAAUAUACCUUCAAAAACCUGCCAGAGUGCUUAUCCUAGCUAAUGGUAUCACCCAGCUGGGGAAAGCCCUUCUCACCUGGCCACUAAUGGGCCACACAACAAGCAAUAACCAGCCCAUGGACGGGCCACCCUUGGGCCAGAUGUUGCCUUAGACUAUCUGAGGCAAGCCCAUGGCCACCUCCAGCCCAGAGCUGAUUCACGUAGUAGGGGGUUGCCAGUGGGCCAAUCCCAGCUGGAAAGAGGCAUUGAGCAGGUUGGGAACUGUCCAUGAUCAUAACAGAGAAAUUGGCCACAUGGGCAGGGGUGUGGUAGGAGGGUGCGUGGGGGUAAUAAAAGAUUCUGACACGCAGGUCGAGAGUGAGCAGUGGAGAAGGGAAAUGACGGGCAUCACAGAUGAACUUUGUCUUUGAGACCCUGUAUAUGAAAAUGCUUUGCACACAGUGAAAGUGCCCUGAGGACUGUGAUUGAAGAUUAUCCUGUUUCAACUAGCAUGCAGUUUUGCCUCUGAACAAGAGGGGAGUCAACACCAGGAUUCUUCUGAGAGCCGGACCCUGCUAUGGGUGGCUGGCGUUUGCUCACUUCAGGGCCA
ensembl:lncRNA